rnacentral:lncRNA from 1 species
AUUACCAAACACUCUAUCCAGUCUACUACAUACUCUAUCAUUACCACUUUGUUGAUUAGACCAGGUAAAAUAAUUUCCCUCCCAUGGCAGCUCAACUAGUCCUGAUUGCUGAAUGCAAUUAUUGAAAUCAACAAGGUCCCUUUGCUUCACUUGUUGGAAGGAUUGUCUUUCCUUGCUGGACAGAAUCGCAUUGAAAUCCCCUGCAAUGAUCCAAGGAUCAGUAAUACCAGCUGAUAAAUUUAAGAUAGAAUUCACAGCAUCCUCCUUUGGUCACAGUCAUUAAAUCCAUAAACUACUGAAAGCCAGCAGAUAGUA